UGGGAACCUGGAAGCACAGUGUUCUCCAGGCAGAAAGCAUUUCGAAGGUCUGGCCAGAGCAGCUCCAAAAUAAUUACAACUCAGUGCAAGUCCAGAGCACUGCCGUUACUGCAUCUUCCUCCUGAGGACAGCACCGGCUGGACAGGGCCCACCCAAACAACAUGCCCAAUUCUUAACGCAGUGACUUCUGCAGAGGCCCUGCUACAAGGGUCUCUGCUUCCAUGGUCUCCAAGGGGGUGGCCGUUCCAGAUCUCGACUGUCACCCACAGGCCCAACCUGUGCACCACUGGGAGGUGGCAGAACUCAGCUCACGGGGUCAUGCCAAGCAGGAAUGAGGACACUGGGACUGUGACCUGGAGGAGGACAUCAGGACCCGCCACGCUUCUCCGCUGCCAUGGUGAGGGCAGCUUUGCUUUGCCACAGCUCCCACCACCACGUUCUGCUCACCACAGCCCCAGGGCAAAGGAGCCCCAAACCCCUGAAGCCAGGAGCCAAGGGCAGCACCUGCUUCCAGUCCCUCGCCUCAGGCUAUGUCGCAGAGAUGCAGGGCUGCCUGACACAGUGACCAGAGCCAACCCCG
ensembl:lncRNA